AUUGAACGCUGGCGGCAGGCCUAACACAUGCAAGUCGAAUGGUAACAGGAAACGACUUGCUGUUUCGCUGACGAGUGGCGGACGGGUGAGUAAUGUCUGUGAAACUGCCUGAUGGAGGGGGAUAACUACUGGAAACGGUAGCUAAUACCGCAUAACGUCGCAAGACCAAAGAGGGGGACCUUCUGGCCUCUUGCCCUCAGAUGUGCCCAGAUGGGAUUAGCUAGUAGGUGGGGUAACGGCUCACCUAGGCGACGAUCCCUAGCUGGUCUGAGAGGAUGACCAGCCACACUGGAACUGAGACACGGUCCAGACUCCUACGGGAGGCAGCAGUGGGGAAUAUUGGACAAUGGGCGCAAGCCUGAUGCAGCCAUGCCGCGUGUAUGAAGAAGGCCUUCGGGUUGUAAAGUACUUUCAGCGGGGAGGAAGGGAGUAAAGUUAAUACCUUUGCUUAUUGACGUUACCCGAAGAAGAAGCACCGGCUAACUCCGUG
rnacentral:rRNA from 1 species